GAUAAACGCGGCGGCGUGCUUAACACAUGCAAGUUGGACGGGAAUACUCGAGGAAGAGACUUCGGUUAAUUUUUUGGGUAUGAGAGUAGCGGACGGGUGAGUAAUGCAUAAGAAUCUAUCCAUCAGAGGGGGACAACUGCGGGAAACCGGAGCUAAUACCCCGUAAGCCGGAAGGUGAAAGGGAGCAAUCCGCUGAUGGAGGAGCUUGUGUCCUAUCAGGUAGUUGGUGAGGUAAGAGCUCACCAAGCCGAAGACGGGUAGCCGGACUGAGAGGUUGUACGGCCACAUUGGAACUGAGAGACGGUCCAGACUCCUACGGGAGGCAGCAGUGGGGAAUAUUGGGCAAUGGGCGAAAGCCUGACCCAGCGACGCCGCGUGAGGGAAGACGGCCUUCGGGUUGUAAACCUCUGUGCAGGGGAAGAAGGAAGUGACGUACCCUGCGAGA
rnacentral:rRNA from 1 species